rnacentral:rRNA from 1 species
UCGCGGUGGCGGAGCGUCGUUUGCGACGCCCAACACACAAAACAAGCGGUGAGUGCUUUGGGGUGGGGUGACUGCGUACCUUUUGUAUAAUGGGUCAGCGACUUAUAUUCUGUAGCAAGGUUAACCGUAUAGGGGAGCCGGAGGGAAACCGAGUCUUAACCGGGCGUUAAGUUGCAGGGUAUAGACCCGAAACCCGGUGAUCUAGCCAUGGGCAGGUUGAAGGUUGGGUAACACUAACUGGAGGACCGAACCGAC